AUUGGACGCUGGCGGCAGGCCUAACACAUGCAAGUCGAACGAGUGGCGGACGGGUGAGUAAUGUCUGGGAAACUGCCCGAUGGAGGGGGAUAACUACUGGAAACGGUAGCUAAUACCGCAUACCAUCGGAUGUGCCCAGAUGGGAUUAGCUUGUUGGUGGGGUAACGGCCUACCAAGGCGACGAUCCGUAGCUGGUCUGAGAGGAUGAUCAGUCACACUGUAACUGAGACACGGUCCAGACUCCUACGGGAGGCAGCAGUGGGGAAUAUUGGACAAUGGGCGAAAGCCUGAUGCAGCCAUGCCGCGUGUGUGAAGAAGGUCUUCGGAUUGUAAAGUACUUUAAGUGGGGAGGCGUUACCAACAGAAUAAGCACCGGCUAACUCCGUGCCAGCAGCCGCGGUAAUUC
rnacentral:rRNA from 1 species